GACUGCUCAAGCCCUAAGCCCAAUAAGGCCCAUUAUAUAUUAAGGCUACACCUAUUCCUAGUAUAAGAUAUAACUAAUACGCCAAGCAUAGGAUUGUUUUACUCUGUUUUCCUAACAAUUCAUUUGUACAUUCUACCUAAAUUAAUUCAACCCUUAUCCGUAUCCAUUUAACAUUCAAUUCCCAAUCUGCUGGCCAGCCACUCCUAAGUGUCCCUUGUUCGUCGACGCUGAACGUUUUGAAGAAACUGAGCUGCGCUUGGGGCUAGCGGGAGGUGGCCGGCGGUAGUGGUGGCAAAAGUGAGAUGGCCAAGAGCAGUGGAAAUAGAGGCUUUUGGGAGACGGAGGUUGAUUUGAAGCUUAAUUUGUUAACGACAGAGUCGUCGUAGUCGGUCGUGAUUGAUGUUGAUGUUAUGGAGAAGAUGAAGGAGAAGACUAAUGUUUUAAAGCCACCGGCCAAGAUGAGGAGAAUGCAUUACUGGAGCAGGCUUUUGCUAUGUCCAUGAAUAUUCUUGGAUCUGAUGUUUCUGCUGUUGAUGCUGAUAAGUUAGAUGCAACUAAUGAAGACAAGGGAGUUGGCAUUGGGUAGGCUAAUAUAUGCUUAAUGGCUUACUUCAGGAAUUGACUAAUUUUCACCUGAAUCUCAAAACGCUUUCUACAGUUAACAGAGGCAUUUAAAGCGGCAUCCCGAUUGGCAAUUGCCACUCCACCUCCUGCUUAUGUAUUGAGCCAUGGUUUGGAUGGCAGGUGAGUGAUUUGAUGCACUUAUAAUAGCACCAUCCUAGUAUGUUUAAUUCAUUUUUAAUUGACUUUGAAUAUAUUAUUUUUAGCUGUUAUUUGACUAACUGGGUUGCGAGAAUUAGUUCACUUCUAAGUGCUUCAAGUGUACGAAACAAUGAAAGGUAACAUUGUUAUUUUCUUUAAAAUUUAGCACCACCUAUCUUAUACAAUAAUUUUGAUAAACUUGUUUGGUGAUUAUUUAUGCACUUCAUCAUGAAUUUUUUCCAAUUGCAUUUUAACUUGUAUUUAUUAAUGGAAAGUUGUAGUGUAAUUGUAAUUUUUUUCAAUUUUGUUAGUUGUUGCAAUGAAAUUUGACUACAAUAAAUCAUGUGUACGAAUUGCUAGUUUAGAUAUAAGGUGUGUUAUAGUUUUUAUA